rnacentral:lncRNA from 1 species
UGGGUUGCCCCCACACAGGGUAAUACCCAUUAAGAAUGGGUCAGGGGAUUGCCCAAAGUGAGGAUGGGGAGAGAAAGAGGGGGGGAGAGAGAGCGCCUGUGGAUCUCCCUGAACGCUAGCCUCUUUUGUGAGGUAGGGGAUUGUGCCCUGCAGACAUGAAGCUACCUGGGAUUUUUAAGGUACCUCCAUAAAUAGCAUGUAGAGCUUAUAUCCGUAUUUUCAUGGUGUUCCCCUUAGGUCCAGGAGGAAGCAGGUGCAUCCCGGAAAAGAGGACGUUUUGAUUGACAAGCAGAGGGCUAGCAUUACAUUGUGGGUUUGCAGGGACUUCCCGCUCACAUAGAACUAAAGUACCUAGUUACACCACAUCAGUUUUUCUGAUGCAGAACUUCUUUGUUUCAACAGGAGCUGUUUCUCCCCAGGGCAAUGGUGGUGGUUAGUGAAAUAUUCUCAUGAAUUUAUGCCUUUAAACAGCCUGUUCCCAAGAUGGAGGAAUCUGCUUUGGAAUUCAACUCCUGUGAGCCAUGCAGCAAGCUGUCACGCAGACCACACAAAUCAUGUCCCUGCAUCUAACAGAGUUCCCCAAGGUAUUCAGCAAUCUGCUGUGAUGCUUAUCUCAA